rnacentral:lncRNA from 1 species
UCUGUUUCUCCUUUCUUUUCCAACAGUCAUAGGCCUACACAUUUUUUAAAUAGGGGAAAGACACAUAUAGUACUGGUUGAUAGAUAUAACAGAGGGACAGACACAUAUAGUACAUGGGCAAUAAUACCAAACCUCUCUAUCUUUUUCCAUUUUAAUAUGUACCCUCUUGCAAUAUAAAUAUGUAUUAUAUAUUUGUGUAAAAAAUAAACAAAUAAAAUCAACUUUAACUCAUAACCAAGUUUAAUGAACAAUAACAUAUAUAUUGCAUUGCAAUCAAUUGGAAUUAUUCCAAUCUAUACUAAUUUCCUACCAUUAACAGAUAUGAACAGCUAAGUAAAGGACCACAAUAAAAGUAGAUGUGGGUCAUUUAUCAAAUUCUUUAUAGGAAUGAUUUGUUAAGUCUUGAUUUACUAGUUUAUUUUUAUAUUUAUAAAUAAAACCAGGUAUAUAUUUACAGAUAAAAAUAACCUACAAACAUGUGUUCAGAGGGUUUUGUUCAGACAUUUGUUGUCAAUAGUGAUUUUUUCAAAAGGUGUUGAAAUCAGAAUAUAUUUUUUUUUAAAUUUCAUAAAAGGAAUCCAAAGAUUUUUUUUGGACCUUGAGAUUUGUUGAUUACUCUUUUAUGUUGAAAAAAAUCUAUCUUUUUGAGAAAAAUUAUGUAUUAUUUUUAAAUAAAAGUCGGUAUACUUAACUUAGCUGGCUUAAUCUGUUUGGUAGGGAAAAUGGUACAAAAUGAUUAGCUGUAUACAAUAACAAAUGCAUAAUUUCAAUAUUUGGAAAUAAAUAAAUUUGGUGUAUUUACUGUCUUCUGUGUUAAAAUAAUAAGCUUUAUUUUCAAUGUUAUCAAUUUUUAUGGCGACACGCUCACUCUAACGUGGAUUAUUCAAUGUGAAGAGUCAAAAAUUUAUUUUAUGGUUCAAUAAAUUCAAAAUAAAUAACAGCCAUUCAUUAAAUAACUCAAAUAACAAUAACAAUAUUUUGGCCAAAAAAAUAUACAAAAUAUUUGCUUGAACCUUAGUAGCAAUCACAGAAUACAACCAUACAUGAUAAAGAAUGACCAGCUUAUCAUGGCAAUAAGCUUUUAAUCAAUAAACAUAAUAUUAAAAGGAUACAAAUUUAUUCAAAGGAAGCACUUCAACAUAGUUAAAAAUAUCAUUAAAAAUAGCAUUUGACUGUUUGAUUUGUAUUUCUGUUUCUCCUUUCUUUUCCAAGUCAUAGGACUACACAUUUUUUAAAUAGGGGAAAGACACAUAUAGUACUGGUUGAUAGAUAUAACAGAUGGAAAGACACAUAUAGUACUGGUCAAUAGAUUUAACAGAGGGAAAGACAAGAUAUUUAGAAAUUUGUUCUGUAAAUAUAUAGGUACCUUCUAUAACUGCGGCAAGAAUUUCCAAAUCACAAAGAAAAUACACAACGAUCCACUGCACAUGACAUAUAAUCCAACCAAGUCAGUGACUCUGGAAGAUUUUUGUACAACAGUCUCAGAGGACUUGCCUUCAAAAGGUAUCAUAGAAAGUAGAAUUCAUGACCAAAAUCAGGUUUGUUGAUCUUUAGACUUAUGUGUAGAACAUGUU